UACGAAGGGGACUAGCGUUGUUCGGAAUCACUGGGCGUAAAGCGCAAGUAGGUGGUAAUAUAAGUCAGAUGUGAAAUCCUUAAUCUCAAGUUAAGAAUGGCAUUUGAUACUGUAUUACUAGAGGAUAGAAGGGGAUAGUGGAAUUCCAAGUGUAGAGGUGAUAUUCGUAGAUAUUUGGAGGAACACCAGAAGCGAAGGCGUCUAUCUGGUCUAUACCUGACACUGAGUUGCGAAAGCAUGGGUAGCAAACAGG
rnacentral:rRNA from 1 species